GUUCAGAACGUCGUGAGACAGUUCGGUCUCUAUCUAUCGUGGGCGCAGGAGAUUUGCGUGGCUCUGACACUAGUACGAGAGGACCGUGUUGGACUGACCUCUGGUUUACCAGUUGUGCCGCCAGGUGCACCGCUGGGUAUCUACGUCGGGAUCGGAUAAGUGCUGAAAGCAUCUAAGUACGAAGCCGGCCACAAGAUUAGAUCUCCCUUGAGGGUCGUUGUAGACGACAACGUUGAUAGGAUGCAGGUGUAAAGAUGGCGACAUCAAAGCCGAGCAUUACUAAUUGCCCGAUGACUUUCUUAC
rnacentral:rRNA from 1 species